CGUCCACUCCCUCUGUUCAAAAUUACUUGUUAUAAAAAUGGAUGUAUUUAGAUGUAUUUUCAUUUUAAAUAUAUUUAUUUAUUUCCAUUUUGACGACAAGUAAUUUGGUACGGUGGGAGUAAUAG
rnacentral:miRNA from 1 species